AUGCAUGUUGAUAAACCGGAGAGGUUCUCGCGCAUACUUACAAGCAAGGUGCUGGUUAUCGGAGGCAAAGAUGGUCUGGUGGCCUGGGUCGACCUAUGGAACGGCAUUCUGUUCUGUGAGGUUCUCACGGGCCGCACUGUUCUUCGGUACUGUGCAUUGCCGCCACCUUUGAACAAGAGGUGCGAAGGCUCUCCUGAGCGUUUUCGAGACAUUGCCAUUGUGGAAGGCCAUAUCAACUUCUUUGAGAUGCGAUUGAAGUUCAAACGGCGCCAAGUAGCCUUCAACACCACUUUGACUACCAAACAUUUUGAAGCCAACACAUGGAAAAUGAUGGAGCCCUGGCAGAACUGGCAGAAGGAUCGCAUACUCGAUAUGUUCAAGAUACCAGUGCACCAGAGUUAUUGUGAAUUGCUUCAUGAUGUAUUGGAUGGUCAGGGCACUCGGACUGCCUUUGAGAGACUCCAGGGAGGUCACCCUGCUCUGAGUUUGCAUGAUGAUGAUGUUGUUUACAUCAUGGCCAAGGCUAAAGAGAUGAACCGCAGGGCAGUUGUGUUUGCUGUGAACAUGAGGAACAAGGUUGUACAAGGAGUCGCUAAAUUUGAUGGAAAAAGAACAUAUGGCUUCACUCAAACCUACCUUCAAAGUGGGAUCUCCAGCUAUCUGACUUCUGAGUCGUCUGCCAGAGGGAAAGCUAGAGAUGGAAUUCCACAAGGAGGCGAUUGCAUAGCUUUGGAGCCUAUUGAUAACAUGUACAAAGGGAAGGCUGCUGAAUCAAGCAGGGAUCGAAUCACACAAGCAGGUGACAUAUCCAAAAGUAAUGCUGCCAAGUCAGGCUGGGUUCGAGUUUCAAGAGGACGCAAGCAGAAAGCUUGA
rnacentral:rRNA from 1 species